rnacentral:misc_RNA from 1 species
UGGGGUAACCGCGUCCAGGU